AAUAAGCUUCCUAAUAAACACCAAAAGUGUCCGCUGCAGUGUAGUUCAACAUCACGAGAUGAAAAUCCUGACCAGUUUCCUGGCCACUUUUAAUGAUUUGUGUUUUGAUCUAAUGCUGUUGGGAUUUGCUGAAUGAUAUUGAUUGGACACUGACUUGAUUUAUCGGUUGUGUCUGAAACCUGAAAAUGCUGCCUUCGCAAGCAGUAUUGAGAGGAAAGAGAGGUACCAUGUUCUCUAUGGCGUAUCCUGGACUUUGCCUAUUGUUUCGGCGUCUUAAACUCCGCCCCUUUCCAUAAGGCACACACUCAGAUCUGCCUCCAUCCAAUCAACAAGCAAUAAAUUGUAUCAAAUCCC